rnacentral:rRNA from 1 species
UACGUAGGGGGCAAGCGGUUGUCCGGAAUCAUUGGGCGUAAAGCGCGCGUAGGCGGCCCGAUAAGUCCGCUGUAAAAGUCCAGGGCUACAACCCAUGGAAGCCGGUGGAUACUGGUCGGGCUAGAAGUCCGGAAGAGGCGAGUGGAAUUCCCGGUGUAGCGGUGAAAUGCGUAGAUAUACGAGAGGAACACCUGCGGCGAAGGCGGGUUGCUGGGCUGACACUGACGCUGAUGCGCGAAAGCCAGGGGAGCGAACGGG